UACGUAGGGGGCUAGCGUUGUCCGGAAUCAUUGGGCGUAAAGCGCGUGUAGGCGGUCCGGUAAGUCCGCUGUGAAAGUCGAGGGCUCAACCCUCGAAUGCCGGUGGAUACUGUCGGGCUAGAGUACGGAAGAGGCGAGUGGAAUUCCUGGUGUAGCGGUGAAAUGCGCAGAUAUCAGGAGGAACACCAAUUGCGAAGGCAGCUCGCUGGGACGUUACUGACGCUGAGACGCGAAAGCGUGGGGAGCAAACAGG
rnacentral:rRNA from 2 species